rnacentral:rRNA from 1 species
GCUCAGGAUGAACGCUAGCGGCAGGCUUAACACAUGCAAGUCGAGGGGCAGCGGGGAGGAAGCUUGCUUUCUCCGCCGGCGACCGGCGCACGGGUGAGUAACACGUAUGCAACCUGCCCCUGUCAGGGGGACAACCCGCCGAAAGGCGGGCUAAACCCGCGUACAUGCCACCGGGGCAUCCCGGAGGCAGGAAAGGCUUCGGCCGGACAGGGAUGGGCAUGCGGCGCAUUAGGCAGUAGGCGGGGUAACGGCCCACCUAACCGACGAUGCGUAGGGGUUCUGAGAGGAAGGUCCCCCACACUGGUACUGAGACACGGACCAGACUCCUACGGGAGGCAGCAGUGAGGAAUAUUGGUCAAUGGUCGGGAGACUGAACCAGCCAAGCCGCGUGAGGGAGGAAGGUACAGAGUAUCGUAAACCUCUUUUGUCAGGGAACAAAGACUGGGACGCGUCCCCGGAUGAGUGUACCUGAAGAAAAAGCAUCGGCUAACUCCGUGCCAGCAGCCGCGGUAAUACGGAGGAUGCGAGCGUUAUCCGGAUUUAUUGGGUUUAAAGGGUGCGCAGGCGGUCUGUUAAGUCAGCGGUCAAAGCCCGGGGCUCAACCCCGGCCCGCCGUUGAAACUGGCAGUCUCGAGUUGGAGAGAAGUAUGCGGAAUGCGCGGUGUAGCGGUGAAAUGCAUAGAUAUCGCGCAGAACUCCGAUUGCGAAGGCAGCAUGCCGGCUCCACACUGACGCUGAGGCACGAAAGCGUGGGUAUCGAACAGGAUUAGAUACCCUGGUAGUCCACGCAGUAAACGAUGAAUGCUGGCUGUCCGGGGGGACUGACCCCUGGGUGGCGAAGCGAAAGCGAUAAGCAUUCCACCUGGGGAGUACGCCGGCAACGGUGAAACUCAAAGGAAUUGACGGGGGCCCGCACAAGCGGAGGAACAUGUGGUUUAAUUCGAUGAUACGCGAGGAACCUUACCCGGGCUCAAACGGGGAGUGGCGCAGGCAGAGACGCCUGUUUCCCACGGGACACUCCCCGAGGUGCUGCAUGGUUGUCGUCAGCUCGUGCCGUGAGGUAUCGGCUUAAGUGCCAUAACGAGCGCAACCCCCGCGUGCAGUUGCUAACAGUCAACGCUGAGGACUCUGCACGGACUGCCGGCGCAAGCCGCGAGGAAGGCGGGGAUGACGUCAAAUCAGCACGGCCCUUACGUCCGGGGCGACACACGUGUUACAAUGGGUGGUACAGCGGGAAGCCAGGCGGCGACGCCGAGCGGAACCCGAAAUCCACUCUCAGUUCGGAUCGGAGUCUGCAACCCGACUCCGUGAAGCUGGAUUCGCUAGUAAUCGCGCAUCAGCCAUGGCGCGGUGAAUACGUUCCCGGGCCUUGUACACACCGCCCGUCAAGCCAUGGGAGCCGAGGGCGCUUGAAGUGCGUCGCCGCGAGGCGCGCCCUAGAGCGAAAUCGGUGACUGGGGCUAAGUCGUAACAAGGUAACCGU